rnacentral:rRNA from 1 species
CACGUAGGGUGCGAGCGUUGUCCGGAAUUAUUGGGCGUAAAGAGCUCGUAGGCGGUGUGUCGCGUCGGCCGUGAAAACCUGCAGCUUAACUGUGGGCUUGCGGUCGAUACGGGCAUCACUGGAGUUCGGCAGGGGAGACUGGAAUUCCUGGUGUAGCGGUGGAAUGCGCAGAUAUCAGGAGGAACACCGGUGGCGAAGGCGGGUCUCUGGGCCGAU